UAAAAUCUGUAAAAAAAUUAGGUUAAAUAUGGUUCAUAUAAGGUACAAAAUUAUUCACUAGGGAUAAACAAAAUUAAGAAAAUAUUUUUUCCGGUUAUCUCUCCUAUAUAUCAGAAAAUAAUUGGAAACGUCAAAUAAUUUGCUUUGAUUAAAAAGAAAGAAUAGAGGAUUUUUCCUUUAUCCUGGGCCACCUCACAGGUAUACAAAAUUAUAGUAGACGAUCAAACCUUAACUAAAAGAAUUGGAAACAAAGGAGGAUAUUACUGAGAAAAGCUGAAAUCGCGAGUUCGCUGUCAUCAACCCCAAAAAUGCAUCAAUUUGUGAAAAACAUUUCUUGAAGUUGAAUUAUGAGCUUAAUGUCCAACGAAGCAGAAUUCUCAAAAAAUGUGUUGUUCCUUCUGUCUUCAAUUUCCCAAAACAUUUGCAGAAAGCUUCUAAUUCAAAACGAAGGAUUUUAAAGAGGAAUGAAGUUUUAGAAGAAAACCAGCCACCUGAAACUAUUGUAGCUAUUUUUUCAAAUGAUAAUGUUGCUGAACCAAUGGAGGUGGAACUAAUUCAGGAGCAGGUUUAAGAGCUACCUACACUAGCUACAAAUGUUCAAAAAAUCCAUGAUGCUCUACCAACUGAAGUGAAAAAUCCAGGUCUAAAAAGUUAUUUUAAUGCCCUAGAAGAUUUUUAUUUUUUUAAUACUUAUAUGAUAUGAAAAUAUACCUAUUUUUAAUAACUCUAUAUUUUAGGAGAAGGCGAGACCCAGUCUAUUGACUAAUUACACUAUUCUAUUCAUUAAAUUCAUUCAUGUAAAAAUAAUGAAAUUUUUUUCAUUGUAUUUAUUUGCAUUGUUUUUUAAAAUAUAAAAAUGAUAAUUGUAAAAAAUAAUAAAAUUAAUUAUCUUUUAUUGUAAAUGGAGACAUACAAUAACUACAGAAAUUGUAGCUGUAGCUAUAAAUUAUACUUGUAGUUGCUAUAUAUCCUGCAUGACUUUUUAGGAGGGUAUUCCCGAUAUACAAAAACAGUUGUUGUUUAGACAACUCAAGAAGGGUAGUAGAGAAAAGUAUAGCCCUGAGUUAAGGUCUUUUGCCCUUUCUCUCCAUUUUUAUUCAGCUCAGCCUAUGACUUUGUCAGAAGCAUGAAUUAUAUCAAUAUUAAUCCAAGGACAUUAUCCAAAUGGUAUGGUUUAGUUGAUGGUAAGCCAGGAUAUACUGCAGAAGUUUUACAGGCAGUCAAAGUUGAGGCUGAAAGGGCAAAAGGAAGGCAGCUUGUUGCUGGGUUACUUAUAAAUAUUUUCAGUUAGUUCUCAGUAUGUAGAAAGCUAUUUUAAAUACAUAUUUUUAAACGUACUAAAAUACCUACGCUCAUGAAACUUUUAGCACUUAAGUUUUGGUCAUGCUAAUAAUAAA